UACAGAGGGUGCGAGCGUUAAUCGGAAUUACUGGGCGUAAAGCGCACGUAGUCGGCUUUGCAAGUCGGUUGUGAAAUCCCCGGGCUCAACCUGGGAACUGCAUCCGAGACUGCAUUGCUAGAGUAUGGGAGAGGGAAGUGGAAUUUCCGGUGUAGCGGUGAAAUGCGUAGAUAUCGGAAGGAACAUCAGUGGCGAAAGCGACUUCCUGGACCAAUACUGACGCUCAUGUGCGAAAGCGUGGGGAGCAAACAGG
rnacentral:rRNA from 1 species